CCGGAAUUAUUGGGCGUAAAGCGUCCGCAGGUGGUUAUGCAAGUCUGUCAUUAAAUACCGACACUCAAUAUCGGAAUAGUGAUGGAAACUGUGUAACUAGAGGAUGGGAGAGGUAUAUGGAAUUGUGCAAGUAGGGGUAAAAUCCGUAGAUAUGCACAGGAACACCAAAAGCGAAGGCAAUAUACUGGACCAUUCCUGACACUCAGGGACGAAAGCGUGGGGAGCAAAACGGAUUAGAUACCCGUGUAGUCCACGCCGUAAACGAUGCGUGCUCGGUGUUGGGACCCUCGACCUGGUCUCAGUGCCUUAGGUAACCCGGUAAGCACGCCGCCUGUGUACUACGAUCGCAAGAUUAAAACACAAAGGAAUAGACGGGGACCCACACAAGCGGUGGAUCGUGGGGUUUAAUUCGUCAAUAAGCGAUAAAUCUCACCCAGGCUUGACAUCUCUAUCAUACCUUGCAGAAAUGCAGGGGUCGGUUCGGCCGGAUAGAUGACAGGCGCUGCAUGGUUGUCGUCAGCUCGUGCCUUGAGGUGUUCGGUUAAGUCCGUGAACGAGCGCAACCCUCGUCGUGUGUUGUAUUUUCACACGAGACUGCCCUGCUCAACGGGGAGGAAGGUGGGGAUGACGUCAAAUCAGCAUGGCCCUUAUGCCUGGGGCCACACCCGCGAUACAAUGGCUGGUAUAAACUGAAGCGAUGCGGCAACGCGUAGCCAAUCGGAAAAAACCAGUCUCAGUUCGGAUUGGAGUCUGAAACUCGACUCCAUGAAGCUGGAAUCGCUAGUAACCGUGUAUCAGCUAUGGCACGGUGAAUAUGUUCCUGGGUCUUGUACUCACUGCCCGUCAAGGCAUGGGAGUUGGGGGCACCCAAAGUCUGCGAAAUAAUCGUGGCCUAAGGUGAAACCAAUGACUGAGCUUAAGUCGUAACAAGGUAACC
rnacentral:rRNA from 1 species